CCUACGGGAGGCAGCAGUGAGGAAUAUUGGUCAAUGGACGCAAGUCUGAACCAGCCAUGCCGCGUGCAGGAUGACGGCUCUAUGAGUUGUAAACUGCUUUUGUACGAGGGUAAACCCCGAUACGUGUAUCGGGUUGAAAGUAUCGUACGAAUAAGGAUCGGCUAACUCCGUGCCCGCAGCCGCGGUAAUACGGAGGAUCCGAGCGUUAUCCGGAUUUACUGGGUUUAAAGGGUGCGUAGGCGGUUUGAUAAGUUAGAGGUGAAAUGUCGGGGCUCAACCCCGAAACUGCCUCUAAUACUGUUGGACUAGAGAAUAGUUGCGGUAGGCGGAAUGUAUGGUGUAGCGGUGAAAGGCUUAGAGAUCAUACAGAACACCGAUUGCGAAGGCAGCUUACCAAACUAUAUCUGACGUUGAGGCACGAAAGCGUGGGUAGCAAACAGGAUUAGAUACCCUUGUAGUC
rnacentral:rRNA from 1 species